AGGAAUACAAAACUAAAUAUCUGCCCUAUUUCCUCACGACAGAGGACAGCAAUGAGAAGCAACUGAUCAGUGACUUACAUGGAGUGCUGGAAAGGCUACAGAAUAAUCAAUUUCCAGCUCUGAGAAAAAAACAUAGUCAUCUGCCUUUGGUAUGUAAUGCUGCAAAGUCAUACUGAGAAAACCGAUUGUGAUGUAAUUAAAUAAGUUAAUUAGCUUUUGAAAUCUACAGCAGUUUAUUCAUUAUGGUUUCAUAUCACUAAUCAGUGUGAUCCAGGUGACCAGUGUGCGCUGAGGAAAGGCGCCAGGAUCGGAAAACUGUGCGACUGCUCGUUGCCGAGAACAUGCAACUCGUUUCUGCAUCGGUGUUUGUGAUUGUAAGGGCUGCAUGUCGAAUAUUUAAACUUUUAAAAUAACUGAGUAUUAAGAGCUAUUUACCCAUUAAAUGUGUCGUUGUGUA